rnacentral:rRNA from 1 species
GGGAAGUAGCGGGCAGGGGUCGGGGUAAGACGGAGGGGGGCAGAGGUGUGCGGAAUUACUGGGUGUAAAGGGGCAGUAGGCGGUGGGGCAAGUCGGGAGGGAAAUCUCUGGGCUCAACGCAGAGGCUGCUGCCGAAACUGCUGGGCUUGAGUGUGGGAGAGGCGCGUGGAAUUGCAGGUGUAGCGGUGAAAUGCGUAGAUAUCUGCAGGAACACCCGUGGCGAAAGCGGCGCGCUGGACCACAACUGACGCUGAAUGACGAAAGCUAGGGGAGCAAACAGGAUUAGAUACCCUUGUAGUC